rnacentral:rRNA from 1 species
AUGAACGCUGGCGGCGUGCCUAAUACAUGCAAGUCGAACGCUGGAAAUCUAGCUUGCUAGAUUGAAGGAGUGGCGAACGGGUGAGUAAUACAUAAGCAACCUACCCACGAAGACUGGGAUAAUCUCUGGAAACGGGGACUGAUACCGGAUAGGUAAUCGGAAGGCAUCUUCUGAUUAUUAAAGGUUAAAAACACUGGUGGAUGGGCUUAUGGCGCAUUAGUUAGUUGGUGAGGUAACGGCCCACCAAGACGAUGAUGCGUAGCCGGCCUGAGAGGGUGAACGGCCACAUUGGGACUGAGACACGGCCCAGACUCCUACGGGAGGCAGCAGUAGGGAAUUUUCGGCAAUGGGGGAAACCCUGACCGAGCAACGCCGCGUGAGUGAUGACGGCCUUCGGGUUGUAAAGCUCUGUUGUAAGGGAAGAACGGUAGAUAGAGAAUAUCUAAAUGACGGUACCUUACCAGAAAGCCACGGCUAACUACGUG